UGCCAGACUCCUACGGGAGGCAGCAGUGGGGAAUAUUGCACAAUGGGGGAAACCCUGAUGCAGCGACGCCGCGUGGGUGAAGAAGUACUUCGGUACGUAAAGCCCUAUCAGCAGGGAAGAAAAUGACGGUACCUGAUUAAGAAGCCCCGGCUAACUACGUGCCAGCAGCCGCGGUAAUACGUAGGGGGCAAGCGUUAUCCGGAUUUACUGGGUGUAAAGGGCGUGUAGGCGGGAAAGCAAGUCAGAUGUGAAAACCAUGGGCUCAACCUGUGGCCUGCAUUUGAAACUGUUUUUCUUGAGUACUGGAGCGGCAGACGGAAUUCCUAGUGUAGCGGUGAAAUGCGUAGAUAUUAGGAGGAACACCAGUGGCGAAGGCGGUCUGCUGGACAGCAACUGACGCUGAGGCGCGAAAGCGUGGGGAGCAAACAGGAUUAGAUACCCGGGUAC
rnacentral:rRNA from 1 species